AAGGUUGAAACUCAAAGGAAUUGACGGGGGCCCGCACAAGCGGUGGAGCAUGUGGUUUAAUUCGAAGCAACGCGAAGAACCUUACCAGGUCUUGACAUCCUUUGACCACUCUAGAGAUAGAGCUUUCCCUUCGGGGACAAAGUGACAGGUGGUGCAUGGUUGUCGUCAGCUCGUGUCGUGAGAUGUUGGGUUAAGUCCCGCAACGAGCGCAACCCUUAUUGUUAGUUGCCAUCAUUUAGUUGGGCACUCUAGCGAGACUGCCGGUGACAAACCGGAGGAAGGUGGGGAUGACGUCAAAUCAUCAUGCCCCUUAUGACCUGGGCUACACACGUGCUACAAUGGGAAGUACAACGAGUCGCUAGACCGCGAGGUCAUGCAAAUCUCUUAAAGCUUCUCUCAGUUCGGAUUGCAGGCUGCAACUCGCCUGCAUGAAGCCGGAAUCGCUAGUAAUCGCGGAUCAGCACGCCGCGGUGAAUACGUUCCCGGGCCUUGUACACACCGCCCGUCACACCACGAGAGUUUGUAACACCCGAAGUCGGUGAGGUAAUUCGUUCAUUGAAAACUGGAUAUUGAAGUAAAAAGAAUCAAAACAAACCGAGAACACCGCGUUGAAUGAGUUUUUUA
rnacentral:rRNA from 1 species